rnacentral:lncRNA from 1 species
CUUUAAUUAUAUUUCCAGUGAUUUUCUCUCUUAUUAUAGGAGAUAUUUAUGGAAAGAGUUUCGAUUUCCAACAAUUGUUGAAAUUAUCAACGAUUAAGAAGAGAGCUGAAGAAAAUAUCUUGGAAAAUAUACUGGAUACUGAAUUAGAUUCCACACCAUGCCCCGUUAUUGAAUGUCUGAUAAUAACAGAUAGUGCCUACGCUGCAAGAUUUGAUAACGAAGAAGAAAUUACGAUUAUAUAAAUGAUAUAAUUAGUGGAACACAAAAUACUAUCGAUGAAUUAGAACUUAGUAUAACACUUCGUUUGAUUGGACGUAUCUCGUAUACAACGUAAAAUAUUUACACGCAUUCCAAGACCAGGAGAUAAUUUUGCAACAGAAUCUAAGAACAUGGGUUGGGUGCGAGGUGCUUGCGAUUCGGACAUAAAAUUUGCGAUGGUGAGCGAUGACCGUCAUCUGUCUUCGACAAUUGAUAACUUUGUUUACCAAUUAGG